rnacentral:rRNA from 1 species
GACGAACGCUGGCGGCGUGCUUAGCACAUGCAAGUCGAACGGAAAGGCCCUGCUUUUGUGGGGUGCUCGAGUGGCGAACGGGUGAGUAACACGUGAGUAACCUGCCCUUGACUUUGGGAUAACUUCAGGAAACUGGGGCUAAUACCGGAUAGGAGCUCCUGCUGCAUGGUGGGGGUUGGAAAGUUUCGGCGGUUGGGGAUGGACUCGCGGCUUAUCAGCUUGUUGGUGGGGUAGUGGCUUACCAAGGCUUUGACGGGUAGCCGGCCUGAGAGGGUGACCGGCCACAUUGGGACUGAGAUACGGCCCAGACUCCUACGGGAGGCAGCAGUGGGGAAUAUUACACAAUGGGCGGAAGCCUGAUGCAGCAACGCCGCGUGCGGGAUAACGGCCUUCGGGUUGUAAACCGCUUUCGCCUGUGACGAAGCGUGAGUGACGGUAAUGGGUAAAGAAGCACCGGCUAACUACGUG